rnacentral:rRNA from 1 species
UCGAGAAUUUUUGGCAAUGGGCGAAAGCCUGACCAAGCGAUGCCGCGUGCGGGAUGAAGGCCUUCGGGUUGUAAACCGCUGUCAGUGGGGAGAAAAGGAUAGUGGGUUCUCCCAUUAUUUUGAUCUAUCCGCAGAGGAAGUGAGGGCUAAGCUCGUGCCAGCAGCCGCGGUAAGACGAGCCUCACGAACGUUAUUCGGAAUUACUGGGCUUAAAGGGUGCGUAGGCGGCGCGGAAAGUUGGGUGUGAAAUCCCUCGGCUUAACCGAGGAACUGCGCCCAAAACUACCGUGCUCGAGGAAGAUAGAGGUAAGCGGAACUUACGGUGGAGCGGUGAAAUGCGUUGAUAUCGUAAGGAACACCCGUGGCGAAAGCGGCUUACUGGGUCUUUUCUGACGCUGAUGCACGAAAGCUAGGGGAGCAAACGG